GGUAAGAUGGCUGAAUGUUAAGGCGUUAGGCUGUAGACCUUUUUACAGAGGUUUGAUUCCUCUUCUUAUCGGCUCUGUAGU
rnacentral:tRNA from 1 species